UCUCUAACCUAUGUCUGAGCUGGUAGAUUCUAUGGCAUCAGAAUUUAUGGUAUCCUCAGUGUAAUUUUUAAAGGUACCAUCAUCAGUUGUUGUAGGUUCAGCUUCAAUGGUGAUAUAACCAUCAGUGUUUAUUUCAGAUUCUGCAGUAAUAUGACGUCUAUUAUUGAAAUCAAUAGAUUGAGCAUUUUCUAAAAAGAUUUUUACUUGUUUAAAAAAUAAUUUUUUAUUAGUAAACAAAGUUUAAAUAAUUUAAUAUGCGUUUAAACAAACUAAAACAAAAAAAUGAUGAGUGUUUAGUAUCUAUUUUUACUUUUUUAUUUCAUAAAUAAAUGUGUAGUUUUUUACCACAGGGAUUGGACUAAUAAUUACGAAUUAUUUAAACCAUUUACGGAAUCACUAACAAUUAAAUAGGCUAAAUAAAGUUACUUCACUGCUAUUUUGUAAAAUAAAAUAAAAUACCUUAAAUAUUUUAAUUUUAAUAAUUAUUACUGUAGACUAAUUAUAUUUAAAACUGCAUUGGAUGAGAUACAGAAAGUAUCAAGCAUUUUAGGUAUAUUGUACCUAUAGCUAUAGCUUCUAAACUUACCGUAGCUGUCUACUAAUAUGGACGGACUGGAAUGUUUAAGCUCUAACAAAGUACUACUCUCAGAUAAAACCGUGGAAAAUACUUGAAAUUGGCCUAAGUCUUCAUUACUGUUUUCUAUAUUACCUUCAAUUAGAAGAGUUUUUUCUAAAAAUAUAAUAAGUGACACUAUGAUUUUGUACAUUCUGUAUAAAAUACAAAAUGAGAAAAGCUUUUAAAGCAUCACAAUUUAAAGAUACAAGAAUAGUUUAAAAUAUACAAUAGUUGUUAUUAUUGUAAUUAGGUAUAUUAUGAAUUGUACUUACGAUUUUCGCGAACCAUAUCCACUAACUUUUUUCCCCUAGACAUAUUUAUUGAUAGGUAUUAUGUAAUUUAUUAGAAAGUAAAUAAUUAAGCGCACAUUUUUAAAAACAAUACCUUAAACAGCACACAAUAGUUUAUAACUACAAGCAAUUUAUAGGUUAGAACUGCGUCGCAAGGUCAACAUUUAUAACGGACGGUUAGUGCCAAAAGAACGUAUCGCCUGUUACGAGUUUACUUUAAAAUAUUUAUUUAUUAGCCCAAAUAACGUAAGCGCUCUUACUUUACUAUGGGCCAAAACAAAAAUGUUUUUUUGUACUUACGCAUAAUGCCAUCUUCUUAAAUAUUGAUAGUAGCUGUUCCGUUUCUUUGGCACUAAAUUAGAACACCUUAGACAUACUUUUGGCUAUCUUAACUCGAUUUCGCCAAUUUUGUAGUUACGUCACUAUGGCUCUAAGCCAUCGAAAUAAGUUUGCAUAUUAUUACCAAGUCUCCAUAAUCGUACUUAACCAUAUACAAAUAUGUGGUGGAUUUGACAAAUAUUCACAAUAUUUCGAUAAAAAUUGACUUUUCGAAAAAGCAAUAAGAGGCAAAAAAGUUUUUAAAACGUUGUUUAAAUGGUAGGUACUACAAUAAUAAUUAAAUUGAAACGUGCACAAAAGCACAUUGUUUUCGAUACAUUGGAAAAAA
rnacentral:lncRNA from 1 species